rnacentral:rRNA from 1 species
GUGGGGAAUCUUGCGCAAUGGGCGAAAGCCUGACGCAGCCAUGCCGCGUGAAUGAUGAAGGUCUUAGGAUUGUAAAAUUCUUUCACCGGGGACGAUAAUGACGGUACCCGGAGAAGAAGCUCCGGCUAACUUCGUGCCAGCAGCCGCGGUAAUACGAAGGGGGCUAGCGUUGCUCGGAAUUACUGGGCGUAAAGGGCGCGUAGGCGGACAGCUUAGUCAGAGGUGAAAGCCCAGGGCUCAACCUUGGAAUUGCCUUUGAUACAGGCUGUCUUGAGUUUGGGAGAGGUGAGUGGAACUCCGAGUGUAGAGGUGAAAUUCGUAGAUAUUCGGAAGAACACCAGUGGCGAAGGCGACUCACUGGCCCAAUACUGACGCUGAGGCGCGAAAGCGUGGGGAGCAAACAGGAUUAGAAACCCCAGUAGUCC